GCACCCGUAGCUCAAUUGGAUAGAGUGCUUGGCUACGGACCAAGAGGUUGGGGGUUCGACUCCUCCCGGGUGUA
rnacentral:tRNA from 2 species